rnacentral:rRNA from 1 species
UUGCACGCUGGCGGCAUGCCUUACACAUGCACGUCGCACGGUAACGGGCCUUCGGGUGCCGACGAGUGGCGAACGGGUGAGUAAUACAUCGGAACGUGCCCGAUCGUGGGGGAUAACGAGGCGAAAGCUUUGCUAAUACCGCAUACGAUCUACGGAUGAAAGCAGGGGACCGCAAGGCCUUGCGCGGACGGAGCGGCCGAUGGCAGAUUAGGUAGUUGGUGGGAUAAAAGCUUACCAAGCCGACGAUCUGUAGCUGGUCUGAGAGGAUGAUCAGCCACACUGGGACUGAGACACGGCCCAGACUCCUACGGGAGGCAGCAGUGGGGAAUUUUGGACAAUGGGCGCAAGCCUGAUCCAGCCAUGCCGCGUGCAGGAUGAAGGCCUUCGGGUUGUAAACUGCUUUUGUACGGAACGAAAAGCCUUCUUUUAAUACAGGAGGGUCAUGACGGUACCGUAAGAAUAAGCACCGGCUAACUACGUG